rnacentral:RNase_P_RNA from 1 species
GGCGGGCUCCCGCUGUCCUGUUUCGGCAGGGUAGAGGAAAGUCCGGACACCACAGGGCAAGAUUCCCUGCGAAAGCGGGGGCACGGCGGGCGCGAGGCCGCCGUGACGGCCAGUGCCACAGAAAACAUACCGUCCCGCAUCCGCGGGAUAAGGGUGAAAAGGUGAGGUAAGAGCUCACCGCCCGGAGGGCAACCGAAGGGGCAGGGUAAACCCAAUCUGGUGCAAGACUAAAUAGGGGACCGGGCGGCCCGUCCGAUGGUCCCGGGUAAGUCGCACCUCCGCUUCGGCGGGGGAUUCCGCGCAUGCGGGAUAGACAAAUGGGGGCCCCCUGGUCCCGCGUUUGCGGGAGCAGGGACAGAAUCCGGCUUACAGCCA